GGCCUGAUAGUUCAGUGGUAGAAUUCUUGCUUUGGGUUGUCAAAAUCUAAAUUGUAAGAGGUCUCCGGUUCGAUCCCGGAUUAGGCCC